rnacentral:lncRNA from 1 species
UUGUUCUCUUCAUUCACCAUCUAAAUCAAAUUGGGUAAGUAAAAAUAAUAAAAGGGUAGCUUUCAAAAUUGUUUUUUUUUUGUUGCAACAUAUUCUCAGAUUUUCUAGGGAACCAAACAUGAAAGUGAUGAGAAUAGGAAUAAAGGAAGUGAAAAAUGGGAAGAGAACCUGAGGAAUUGAGAAGGAAUGGGUUGGGGAAUUGUGAAGGGAAAAAGAAGCGUUCAUAGAGGUUGCAACAACGACCUCCAUGGAUGAAGGAAGCUCCACCUUUGGCUAAACCUCUUUACAUAUUUUCUCUUUUACAUUAUCCUAUCAUAUUUUUCUACAUAUUUCGAGAAACAAUAGUUAAAUAGUAUAAAAAUUUGAGUAAUAUGAUAUGAUUUAUUUAUUUUUUGUACAAGUAAUAUUAGUUGUCCUUGGGGGAAUUAAUCUCUUUCUUAAUUCAUGACUAAUGUUUCUCGCAAUAUUUUAAUAUUGUUUAUCUGAAAUGUAAAUUAUAAACUUACUGGUUUAUAAAUCAAAACAUUUGGAAUGAGGUAACAAAAUUAAAACACUCAAAAGGUAAGUAAAAGGAAAUAUUAGUUAAUAAUUCUUUUAAAAAAUAAGUUAUUUUAUUGUUUUUUGUACUAAUAAGCUAACAAAUUUUUUUGGUGUAUGAUUGUUCCUUCAAGUAAAUGUUGCUCCCAAGAAUUAAACACUUAAUAUUUUGAUAAUUCUAUGGAUCUAAUAAGUCUUAUACUGCUAGGUCAAUGUAUUAUUGGUAAAUAAUCUACUUUAUGUUAAUUAAGAAAUAAAAAUAAAAACAUCAUCUUUUGCUUAUUUAAAUUAUUACUUUUAUUCAUUAAAAAAUUAUUUUUAAAAAAAUGUUGAAUGUUCUUUUUUCCUAUCGAGUUGCUUUUUUUUGUUGGAGUUUAAUUAGGGUGUUUCCGCAAGUAGAUAUUUUUAGAGCAUAUCAUUCAUGUAAUGUUAUUUUGCUUUUUAUUUUCUUAAUAUAUAAUGAGUUAAAAUAAAGUUAAAUGAGAUAGGGAAGUAAGCAUUGUCUUGUAUGAUUGUAGGUCAUGUCCUUUAGUUGGUAUUUGAUUUAGAUUGAUAGUUAUGAUAUAGGUAAAUAAUUUGGUAAGGUAAAAUAGAGGAUAAAUUAAUUAACAAACUUAUUUGGCUGAAAAUAAUCAUUGGCUUAGUUAGAGAUAGAGGUGUCAAUAUGGGCAAUGUUCACGGGCAGGGCAUGGUAUUUUUGUCUGUUAGCCCAUAUUGUUCGGCCGUUUGCCCGCUUUAUUAGCGUGCAUUUUAAACGGGCUCCGUGGGCUGCCCGCGAGCAUUACAUUUUACACUUUAAAAUUUUAAUUUUGGCUCAGUGGGUAGUGGCCCAAACUCCUUUAAUUAUUGUAUAUUUGUUAGAGAGAAUUAUUAUCUAAUGUGGUUAGAGAGACAUGUUUUGAAUUAUUAUUAUAUAGAAUUUUAAUUAUUAUGUAAUGUGGUUAUGUAAAAUCUAUUGAUUUACUGCCUAAUGUACUGCAUAGGAAAUUUGAAUUGACAUUUGAUAACUUAGCAUACACCAUUGUUGCUUUUUUAAUGUAAACAUGAAAAUGCCCGCGGGCCACCCGUUAGCCCGUUAGCCUGUUUUAAAACGGGCAGGGCAUGACUUUUUGUUUGUUAACCAAUUGCGACAUUCCCACUUAAAGGAAAGUCAAAAUUGAAGAGAGAGAAAAACUAACGACAAAAAGAAACUUAAGUCCCAGAAAAUCUAUGUAACAGAAAAAUAUAAUGGAAUGUUUUCUACCAGUUUUCUUCAAUUUCACAUUGAUACACUACCUAUCUAAAAGCAAAUUGCAUUCAGCUUACUAAGCAAUAUGCUUUCUGCACUUAAUAUGUGCCACCAGAACUAAAUUUAGUAAGUAAGAAAAUCUAAGCAGUCAAUGUUAUAUUUAACUGAUCGGAACUUUGGAGCACUAUCUAGCUAUAAUCCUACGCUCCUAGCAUUAUCACCAUUCACCACCUACAAUAUCACAGAAGGAAAUAAAAGCUUUUGACCAAUUCAAGCUAACAACAGGAAAUACAAUUGCCUCCAUAUUAUUUUGUAUGAGGAUAAAAGGCUAAAAAGCUUGCUUAUGAGCUGCAAUCACAAAAGGAUCAAUAAUAUAUUCCUGAUCAAAUAGGACCUAAGUAACUUCAUUACCUAUAAUCUAGAGAGAGAAUAUGAUAACCAUGCUGCAAUAUGAACGCAACUAAUUCAGAGAAUUUUGAUAGGAAGCUAAAUCAUCAAACAUCAAGUACCAGCAUUUCGAAUAACAAUACAGAAUUACAGAUAGUUCCUUCUAGAUAAGUACAGUUUGUUUAAUGCAUUUCUAUAUCAGACUUUCAUUUUCACUGUUUAAACUUUAAUUAUAGCUAGUGUAGAUUCUUUUCCAUGUCGAAGGCGUUAAGAAUAUAUCACCUUACUCUGUUGUCCUUAUGCAGAAAAUUGGAAUAAAAAGGUAGGGAAUGAAAUCUAUACAUGUUUGCUCUCGGUUGUUCAUCGGUUCAUUGCGCAAUGCAUCUUCUCUAUACCUAAACCAACUUUGUCCAUUAAAACCUUUGUCGAUAUACGCUCGGUCAAUUACUCUCCAUGCCUCCAGAAAUAGGAGAUUCUCUUCAGUGAGGGCCCCUAGAAAAAAAAGCGGGGAAGAAACAACACAAAAGAAAUGAAAACAAGAUCAGGAAAACAUUCCACUAUAAAAACUCUACACAUCUUAAUUAUCAUAUUAUCCUUUCAAAUUCGAUUAUAUACGCAUUAAAGAACUCACAGGAUGGGUUACUGGAAGCCAAGGAAACCGACAUAACCAACAUCACUAACAGAACAGAAGCAUGUUGUCUGAACUUUACUGAACAAUCCUUCAACUUUACAUGACAUUUAUAUUUCCUUCUUUUGACAAAGAAACCCCAACUUGAAGGAAACAAACUACACUUAGGAAAACAUGUUUGGCUUAUCAAUGGUGCCACCCCAAGUGAAAAAUCAUUCACAGAAUCCCUAUUGAUAAAACCAAUAACUCUCUUCCUUCUAUGUGUAAAAGAAAUCCUGUAAUCUAUUGCCCUUACAGAAAAACACUUCCACUGUGAUACCUGCAUAUAGUGCAUACAUUUCAGUGAAUAUACAAGUGAAAAUAGUGUUGUUCUCUUCAUUCACCAUCUAAAUCAAAUUGGGUAAGUAAAAAUAAUAAAAGGGUAGCUUUCAAAAUUGUUUUUUUUUUGUUGCAACAUAUUCUCAGAUUUUCUAGGGAACCAAACAUGAAAGUGAUGAGAAUAGGAAUAAAGGAAGUGAAAAAUGGGAAGAGAACCUGAGGAAUUGAGAAGGAAUGGGUUGGGGAAUUGUGAAGGGAAAAAGAAGCGUUCAUAGAGGUUGCAACAACGACCUCCAUGGAUGAAGGAAGCUCCACCUUUGGCUAAACCUCUUUACAUAUUUUCUCUUUUACA